rnacentral:rRNA from 1 species
CAUCCGCGUGAGUGAAGAAGGCCUUCGGGUUGUAAAGCUCUUUCGCAAGGGAAGAAAACUUAUGAUCGAAUAAAUCAUGAGGUUGACGGUACCUUGAUAAGAAGCACCGGCUAACUACGUGCCAGCAGCCGCGGUAAUACGUAGGGUGCGAGCGUUAAUCGGAAUUACUGGGCGUAAAGCGUGCGCAGGCGUUUUUGUAAGUCGGAUGUGAAAUCCCCGGGCUCAACCUGGGAACUGCGUUCGAAACUGCAAGGCUAGAGUGUGUCAGAGGGGGGUAGAAUUCCACGUGUAGCAGUGAAAUGCGUAGAGAUGUGGAGGAAUACCAAUGGCGAAGGCAGCCCCCUGGGAUAACACUGACGCUCAUGCACGAAAGCGUGGGGAGCAAACAGGAUUAGAUACCCUGGUAGUCCACGCCCUAAACGAUGUCAGCUAGUUGUUGGUAGAGUAAAAUCUAUGAGUAACGUAGCUAACGCGUGAAGUUGACCGG